GUUGGAGUGGAGGUCAUAAAUCUGGCACUAGAGGGUGAAGAGCAGAAACUUGGUUAUGGGACCAAGAAUAUUUCCAUUACGCUGCGUCUGCUAACCAACCCAAACCAUCUGGUAGCUCUGUCUCCUGUCCAGCCUGUCUCUACUGUCUCCUGUCCAGCCUGUCUCUACUGUCUCCUGUUCAGUGCAUAUCUGAGGGGCACCAUGAUGCAGCAGAUUCUGCAGAACAUGCACAUUGAACCAGAGCUACUGGUGAAGCUGAGCAAGGAACAGAAACACGUUCUGUUCUACAAGAUCCGCGAGGUGCAGGUCCGCCGCUGGAACGAGAGGGAGGCCCGCGAGCACGUUACCUAAAGCAGAAACCGGGACCCAGAAACAAGCUGAGGAGACGGCAUCUGCAGCCUGGCAUGUUGGAAAAGUUCAUACUCAGCCCUGGGUCACCAGCUCCCAUUCAUCUGUUUUCUCAACUGAAGAGGGUGCAGAUGAAUGUGACUCCUUGGGAGGGUAAAUGAUGCAGCUGACAGACAGAGAUGCAGCUUCCUGGGAUGUUUCUGUGCAGCAGCCUUGAUCCUCCUGCUUCCUCAAUUCUGUUUGUUUGGAGUACAAGGUGCCGGAACAUGUGUCCAUGGUAACCUGACAUUCUCUGUCUGAGGAGGAUAUAAACAUAUUCACACUGAUGUGCUUCUAUGGGGACUGAAUAUUUGUGUGUCUGUGUGUGAGGUGUAUGUGUGUGUGGCGUAUGUGUAUCUGA